CCUCUUUCCUCCACUCGUUUCUCGAUCUCCUCUCUCGCAACCCAAAUCCGCUCGAUCCGCCAACCGCCGCCUCCAUCGUCCUAGCCCCGCGCCGCGCCACCGUCGUCCCCGCCACGUCCCUUGCCGCCGUCCUCCCCGCCACGAGCCGUCCCCAUCCGCGUCCGACCCCGUCUCCACCCAUGUGCCCCCGUCUCUACCCACCCACCGGCGCCGCGCCGCCGUUGUCCCCGCCCCGCGCCGCCGCCGUCCGCGCCUGCCCCGUGCCGCCGCCGUCUGUGGCCGCCCCGUGCUAUCCCGCACCGGCUGACUCGACGCCGGCCGUGUGGCCACGGGUCCGGCGCCCCCUUCCUGGCCGGCUGGAGCAGCCGGCCCUCCCUCUGCUGCUGCUCAUCACCGCCCCCCAACCGCCAGCGUCUCCCUCUACAUCUUUUUUUAGUGUUCUGCUACUGUUUUUAGGUGGAUGAAUUCAUAGAUAGAUGGAAUGUUUGUCAUAUUUGUUAGAUGUAGUUAGUUUGCAAAAUAUUGAUCAAUGGAUGUUAUUAGCAAUAUGUUUUUUUUCAAGUUUGAAGUGUCAAUGUUGUUUUGUGAUGUGAUUAUAUAUUUUUUGCAUGAUUGUAUUUUGAUCAUGAUGGUGUUUCUACAAAACAAUGAUGAAAUAUUUUUUGACACUUAAUGGUCUUGCUAAAACAUAGUUGUUGAGAAAAAUGGUAACUUGUUCAUUAGGAUUUAACAUUUCUAAUAUUUUGAAUGUGAAACUUUAAGUGGAUGAAUUUAUUUUGUAUUUCUCAUCUAGUAAAUAAAUAUAUGAAGGCAUUGGUCCAUGAUCUAAGUUUUUGACACUUGAUGAUCUAUGUUAUUUGUCGGUAAAAUUUACAGUCUUUGUGGUGUUGCAUAUCUUUGGAGUCAUCGUCAUCGAAGGCAAUGGUCUGUGAUCUCAUCGCUGUUCGACUACUUCCUCUACAGCCGAGGGGUUGCAUCGAUAAAUAUACAUUCAAUUGCGUAUUUAUCACCGCAGCUCUUUCGGAGUGGUCGAGCAGGUAAUCCUCCCCCCUGACUACUUGACGAUGACUCCUCACAGGGAGGUCGAGGGAGAGGUGCCCCUAGAGGAGGAGGGGGCGGGGCGAGAGCCCCUAGAGGGCGAGGAAGUGGGGGGAGAACCACUACAGGGGGUCACGGCCAGAAAGAGCGCAUCCUCACCGACUUAGGGUUGUUGUCUUCGAGGCCCUCCUCUAGUGAGUUACCCUCCUCUAGCUCGAUACCCUCUGACGAGGAGGAGGAGGAGGAGGUUCGGGAGGAGGAGGUUGGGGAGGGGGGCGAGGAGGAGGAGGAGGAGGCAGGCGAGGAAAGACAACUGGAUAUAUCCUAAAGGGGCCCGUAUUCCCAACGGCCUCAUCACCGUCUUGCUGAAGGUACACUAUCCGGGGCUAUACUGUCCAGAUCCAGUCAGGCACCUAGACCGUCGGAUUUUGGCCACGAGCUGGGACCACUAGGAAGCAUCCCUCCACGCGGACCAGGAGACCCAUGCCAAGGUCAUGAUCACUAAUUUCUUGAAAUACUAUCGAGUUCUUCCGGAGCACAAGGCCACUGCCGACCAGAUCGUGCUGCGCCAAGCCAAGAAGAAGGCCCGCCAACUUCUGUACGAGGUGCGCCGAGUGGCCAUCUCGACAUACUAUCACGAUGCUCUUGGUGUGAAGAUGACCAAGGAAGAAGCACGGAAGGAGAACAUUACCUUCGAGAGGCACAAGUACUUGGCGGUGUGUCCAAACUUGUGUUAUGGAAAGGACGAGUCCUGGGCUGCAUUGGUGGAUCUGUGGUGUGAUAAGGAUGGAGCCUGGGCGGCUACGAGCCUUAAAAACAAGGCUAACCGAGGGAAGGAGGGAGCACAUGCUCAGGGGAACCGGAACUACUUUCUCCACAAGAACCUGCACGAGGAGAAACUAAAGCGGCCGCUCUCGCACAUGGAGGCAUGGGAGAUCGCCCAUACGCGGAGGAAUCCCAAGCCUUGCAAGGCCAACUACUACGGCAAGACCGCGAAGAAGAAGAAGGCCUACUCUGAUGAGUAUCUGAUGUUACAUCCUGACACACCUGACCCCAUUAGUGCGGAUCUGGACGAGAGGGUGGUGGUGGGCAUGGGGCCCAAGAAGCACGGUCGGGAGCCGGUUCUGGAUGCUGUGAUCACUCCUUCUAUCUCCUACACAUAGCUCCGAGCUACUGACCCGAGCCUAAGCGAGCGCACGAGCACGCCCAUGACCAGUGCGCAGUCACAAUCCCUCUUUCAGGAGCGGCAAUCUGCCUACUUGGAGUACACACGCCAGGAGACCAUGGCGUGGCACACAAGCCUUUUUGCAUUGCAGGGGCAGAACAAUCGCAGGAUGCAGCGCGCUCUUGAGGAGAUGGCGGCCGGACGGGUUCCUCAGUUGCAAGACGCACCACCUCCUCCCGCACAACCAAUGCUGCUUACCUUUGAGGAGUUUGUGGCAAAGAACCUGAGCCCCUCGCCGGGAACCGGUGGAUCUACCGUUGGUGGUGGUGCUGGUGUUGGCAUCACUCCCGACUCACGGAGCACGGUCACUCCAAUCCACGGGGCCGGUGGCGGUGCCGGUCUUGGCGGUAGUGCUGCAGCUAGCACUGACGACUUGUGCUUCGGCGUACUUGGCGGUGACUACCUUGGCGGUGGUGGUGGAUGUCCAGAUAUUUUCGUACAGAGAAGAUUUGAUUUUCCUUGAAUGAAAAAAGAUAAAAAAAGGUUGUACAAGAAUAUCAUGUAUUUCUCAAACCAUGUUGGAGGCGGCAGCGCUGCUGCUGUUGAUCCUGGAAUGGGCAUAGUCGAGGCUGCAGUUAGCACUUCAAGGAGGAAAGGGAGACAUGAUUACUUCUUGGAAAGGAUUUCCGGCGAUGCGCUUUCAGUGGGAGGAGACAUUCCCG